rnacentral:rRNA from 1 species
GAUGAACGCUGGCGGCGUGCUUAAGACAUGCAAGUCGAACGGAGUGUGUAGCAAUACUCACUAAGUGGCGAAUGGGUGAGUAACACGUAGGUGACCUGCCCUGAAGUGCGGAAUAACAGUCCGAAAGGAUUGCUAAUACCGCAUGUGGUCCCGGGCGUUAGAGAACCGGGUCUAAAGCAGUAAUGCGCUUCAGGAGGGGCCGUGCGGUCCAUCAGCUAGUUGGUAGGGAGUGGCCUACCAAGGCAACGACGGAUAGGGGACCUGAGAGGGUGGCCCCCACAUUGGCACUGACACAC